rnacentral:pre_miRNA from 1 species
AUAAUAUAAGAACCCGUCUCUUAACUUUUAACUAAAAAAGUUAAGAACCGGUUUUUAAAUAAGAGUUUUAAGAGCCGGUUCUUAGCUUUUUUAAUUAAAAGUUAAGAGACGGGU